UGCAGUUCGACGGUAACAGGCCYUUCGGGCGCUGACGAGUGGCGGACGGGUGCGUAACGCGUAGGAAUCUGCCUGGUAGUGGGGGACAACGUGGGGAAACUCACGCUAAUACCGCAUACGCCCUGAGGGGGAAAGCGGGGGACCUUAUGGGCCUCGCGCUAUCGGAUGAGCCUGCGUGGGAUUAGCUGGUUGGUAGGGUAAAGGCCUACCAAGGCGACGAUCCCUAGCUGGUCUGAGAGGACGAUCAGCCACACUGGGACUGAGACACGGCCCAGACUCCUACGGGAGGCAGCAGUGGGGAAUAUUGGACAAUGGGGGGAACCCUGAUCCAGCAAUACCGCGUGUGUGAAGAAGGCCUGAGGGUUGUAAAGCACUUUUAAUCGGGAGGAAGAGCUGUUGGCUAAUAUCUGACAGUGUGACRUUACCGAUAGAAAAAGCACCGGCUAACUCCGUGCCAGCAGCCGCGGUAAUACGGAGGGUGCGAGCGUUAAUCGGAAUUACUGGGCGUAAAGCGUGCGUAGGCGGUUAUUUAAGUCAGAUGUGAAAGCCCUGGGCUUAACCUGGGAACGGCAUUUGAGACUGGAUAACUAGAGUUUAAGAGAGGAGAGU
rnacentral:rRNA from 1 species